rnacentral:lncRNA from 1 species
GUAUAAACAUGUGUGUCACAUAAUUUGCAACAAAACAUAACAUAGAUCUGAUAACACAUCAUAUAAACCAUAAUAACUAAACUUCAUUAAAAUUCUACUACUACUUAAUAUAACUUCCAAGACAGCUGUUGAAACUACCAGAAAACCAAACAUGUUUCAAACUGCCGAAAAGCAAGGACCAGUGCCACCCUUCUUGUCAGCAACAUCUGGAAUGCUUGAAUAGCUGUAGAGGUGGUUUGACAUUUUCCAUCCCCAAUCACGUUUCCUCAAGAUCGACAUUUGGGGCCAUCGACCGAUCCUCACAUAAUGCUCUCUAAUCUUCCCGUCUCCCAACAAACUUGUGACUAUGGUGUAACAACAUUCAUGGCCUCCCCACACCUUGUCAUCAGGAUCAGCGGUUUGACUCCCAUCUGGGUGAAAAUAGCGUCGCAUUAGUGGGCGCGUCCCUUUCCAGUAUGGAUCCAACCUUUUUGAAGUGGAACUCCCAAGAAUGAUCCCAUAGGUCUUCCU